GUAAUUAAUGCUUUAUAAGCACAAACUGUUAAUUUAACAGCGCUUGUUAAGCGCGUGAAGAGGCGUGAAGAUAAUCACUCAGAAAACAUUCAGUUAUUCCCUCUGACCAGACGCAGCGAAGCUUCGUACUUAUUUAUGGAAACCACCAAUCAACAAACACUGAUCGAGGAAGGUAGAGUCUAGCUUAAAGUGAUCAAUCUGGUUUGGCAAUUGUGUCGUAUUAUUAUGGUAAAUUAAGAUCACUUUUAAAAGGUUUGUUGCUGCCUGUAACCUUGAUAUGAGGUUAAUUAUACUUUAGCUUUUAGCUUAAGGUGAGUGCUGACUAAUAUUGGAAAACUUAUGUUAUUUGAUUAGUUAUUUGAGUUACUUAUUUUCCAGUUAAAUACAUAAAAACCAAGUACUUGUAAUAAAGUGUUACUGUAGCUAUAUAUCUAUUACAUUUAUAACAUUUUUGUAUGGUUCCUUUUAAUGAAGAACAUUAAAACUGGCUUAACUUGCAAACUAGGCCAGGCAACAACAGCAUACCUUUCUGGGUUUUUUUUUUUGAUAAAUGAUAUUUCUGUUUGUGAAGAAGCAAAUUGUUUUUUGUUUUGUUUUUUAACUGAAACCGCCACAAACACUGCCAUGGACAAAAUACCGUUAAGGUACUAUAUUUAUUUAGGUGUAAGUGGUGCGCUGCUUUUAUUGUGAAAACCUGCUGCCCCUCCACGCCUCCCCAGCUUUAAACGUUUCUUCUUUUUUUUUUUUUACUUUAACUUACAAAAUGUUGUUCGUGCGUUUUUAAGUGAUCCUGUUUCUAUCCCGUGCUUUUUUCGGAGUCACUAUCCUUUACAGAGCAGCGAGGUGAAGUUUUUUUUGGAGGGGGGGGGGUGAAAAAUGUUUUACUGUCUUUGCGUUUCUUGAAAAGCAAGACCGGAAACUAUGUUUUUUAAACUGUGGUUUGCUUUACAGGCUCCUCGGUCACAACCAGCACACCAGCUGGGGCGAGGAUUUCAGUCACAGCGAAGACCCCUGGAAGCUGCAGGAGAGGAGAUACCACGUUCGCCUGGAUAAGACCGCGAAAGCAGCCACAAACCUGUAUGUGUUUAUAUCCACCACACCAACUCCAGCAGAGAGCUUUAUCAGGAGGGGGGAGAGAAAGGGUGGCACCAACGACGGACGGAAGAGGACGCACCACAGCCAGAGCGCACAGUGUUGUGUUUGUUGGACACACACAUGCCAGCGAAAACUAGCACUAUCCAGACCUAAGGAAUUGCUUGAGAUUAGAAGUCACCGCUGUUUGGUGGGUGGGUUUUUUUUAAUCCCACCGAGGAGAUCCAAGGGUUUUC
ensembl:lncRNA